CCAAGGAGUCCAACAUGUGCGCGAGUCAUUGGGUGUUACGAAACCUAAAGGCGUAAUGAAAGUGAAGGCGAGCACGGGGCUCGUCGAGGUGAGAUCCGUUCCUGUGACAAGGAAAGGCGCAUCACCGGCCCGUCCUUUUACCGGGGCGGAGCAAGAGCGCACACGUUGGGACCCGAAAGAUGGUGAACUAUGCCUGAGCAGGACGAAGUCAGAGGAAACUCUGAUGGAAGUCCGCAGCGAUUCUGACGUGCAAAUCGAUCGUCAAACUUGGGUAUAGGGGCGAAAGACUAAUCGAACCAUCUAGUAGCUGGUUCCCUCCGAAGUUUCCCUCAGGAUAGCUGGCGCUCGAAGUAUUGCAGUUUUAUCCGGUAAAGCGAAUGAUUAGAGGCCUUGGGGAUGAAACGUCCUCAACCUAUUCUCAAACUUUAAAUGGGUAAGGAGCCGGACUCGCUCGAUUUGGAGUCUCGGACACGAAUGCGAGUGCCAAGUGGGCCACUUUUGGUAAGCAGAUGGCCCCCUGUGGA
rnacentral:rRNA from 1 species